ensembl:snRNA U6 U6 spliceosomal RNA
GUGCUCACUUCAGCAGUAUAUAUAGUACAAUUGAAAUGAUAUAGAGAAGAUUAACAUAGCCCCUCUGCAAAGAUGGCAUGCAAAUUCAUGAAGCAUUCCAUAUUCAA